rnacentral:lncRNA from 1 species
CUUUCCGGUUCCCCAGCGCCCACAGCACCGUACCCAGGCACAGCCCCUCCUCCUCAUGUCCUACACCCCAGUCCCAGCACCCCACGGCAAGGACCACCUCUGCUUUCUGUUUCCCAUUGCUUGCUUGGCCACAGAGAAAAUAGUUUCACUACAGAAAAUCAAUACAGUUUUCCAGAAAAUCGUGUUAAUAUGAAAAUGGUGUUGGAUUGUUCUUAGCUAUGACUGUCUUGAUCGCCAUUGAUUCAUGGCUAAUAUGUCUGAUAAGCUUUAAUAUUUCUAAUUGGUUUUCGUUAUACUCAGGGAGUAAGAGGCUUUUUCAACCUGCACACUUGUACUGCUACCUCCUGUUUGUGUCUCUGUGUGAAAAGAGAUGAUCCAGAAAAUAUUCCGUGUGUCAAAGUUAUGAUUUAGAAUAUUUUCAUCCUAAGGGCUAAGAAGGGUUACAGAUCUGCCGAUGUUGGAAUGUCAUGCCUGAAUACGGUUUGAUUGAGCAAUGAGAUAUUUUCCCAAGAUGCAUCCUGGUGUGAACAAGUGUUUCCAAAAAGCUUGCAGCCAUGUGGACGUCUGUUAAGAAGACAGUAAGUUGGUCAUGCAGCACCCAACUGGAGACAGCCCAAAUGAGGAGAUGCAACACCAGGAGUCCAGAACAGCGGUGCUCGAGCCAGCUCAGCCAGGAGGCAUGCUAAAAGCUUUAGGAAGCCACAUAGAGACAGAAUCAGCCAAAAGAGGAGAUUCCUCUGACUUCAGCAUCCCGUGGUACGUGCCAGACACUGGACAGCAAGUCACUUUGGAUGCUGCUUCCACUGCAGUGCUUGGAGAUCCCUAACUGGGACCUGGACCUCCUGCCAAAAGGUCAAGCUCAGCCCUCGGGGCCCCAACUGUACCCCAAACCUAUGGAGCUGCGCUGCCGGCUGGAGAGCUGCGGGCACUGCCAGGACUGCGAGGAACAGCACCCGUGUGGUUUACUGCUGUAUGGCAGCUCCAUCCGUCACACUGUCUGUUACUGCGUACAGCUGCCAGUUGUAACUAAGGCAGUAAGAGGAGGCUGUGUCAGCAUUACCGCUGGGGGUAGCACAGGGGCUUUUUCCUCACAGCAAGAAAAGAUUUCUGCAGGCAAUCACGGUAUUGUCUGAAAAACGUCUAAACAUCAAGAGUUCUGAGUAUAAGAGCAACUGGAUUUAAACACUGUUCCCAAGAGCAACCCUUACAGACUCCCAAAGAAGCAGAUUUACAACAAGGACUGGAGAACAACUCAGUUAUCCAGACUUCCUCUCCCAGCUUCUUCCAUGUACUUUCACACCAGUAACCAGGGGCCCAUUGUCAAAAGAGUUCCCUCUCUCCUCUUCCCACACAAACAAAGCUCGGGUGUCUGGCUGUGCUGCACUGCCCAGUGCCUGCUCCUGCCUCACACUGACAGCAUCCCAAGAUGUCUCUGCUGACAUCUGGACUUAGUUACUAUUGCACUGCAAUAUCAGAACGUGCACGAAUGAGUGACAAAGUAUUUCAAUGAGUACAAAGGUGCAUAAGUGGAAACUUAGAGAAAGAAGAAAGGUAGCAUUCAUGUGACUCUUCAACCAAAAACUAAAUGAAAAGCGUGCCCGCAAAGCCUUAGAAAAAUUGCAGCACAGACCAGAAAAAUAACAUUUUGCUUUGUUUACCAAACAUUUCAGAGUUAUCCAGGUACCAGGACCGCUCCCUUUGCAUAAAAAGCACAUUAGCAGGGAAGCUUGCUGCUACUGUGCUGUUGCAACACACACACUAAUCGGGCUGUCCAUCUUCCCCAGGAGCUGCUGCUUUGAAGGAAACUACACAAAGUGCUUAGGGAAUUUGCCAUUCAGCAGUUCCCUCAAGAUCUGCGUCCAUCUUUCACUGAUUAAUAUUGAAGCAUUAAUCAGAUGUUUCUACGUUUCCAUGCUCCCACCAGCUACACGUGUGCAAGCCAAGAGGUGGAGACAGCAAUUCUUCACUGGGAAUAUUGGUAAAACAAGGCUUGCAUUUAGGGGAUUCAGACUGGUAAAGACAGUUUCUUAAGCUGACAUUUAAGAAUCACUGACUUUCAAAUACCACAUUAGCAAUCAAGAAAUCAACAGUGUUUAGAAGAAAUGUAAUUAGCUCAGCAUGCUCUGCUUGAAACCAGUGCUGUAGCUAUCAGCUGCAACAAAUGCUAAAAUGCAGAAUUUGUUUUUCCAUUGAAGUACAUUACAAUUUACUUUAAUAAAGGCAUGAGAGCUUGAGA